CGGGUGAGUAAUACAUCGGAACGUGCCCUGUAUGGGGGAUAACUAGUCGAAAGAUUAGCUAAUACCGCAUACGACCUGAGGGUGAAAUGGGGGACCGCAAGGCCUCAUGCUAUAGGAGCGGCCGAUGUCUGAUUAGCUAGUUGGUGGGGUAAAGGCCUACCAAGGCGACGAUCAGUAGCUGGUCUGAGAGGACGAUCAGCCACACUGGGACUGAGACACGGCCCAGACUCCUACGGGAGGCAGCAGCA
rnacentral:rRNA from 1 species